rnacentral:rRNA from 1 species
UGCCGCGUGCGGGAAGAAGGCCUUCGGGUUGUAAACCGCUUUUAGUCGGGAAGAAAAGGCCAGGCCUAAUACGUCUGGUUCUUGACGGUACCGGCGGAAUAAGCACCGGCUAACUACGUGCCAGCAGCCGCGGUAAUACGUAGGGUGCGAGCGUUAAUCGGAAUUACUGGGCGUAAAGCGUGCGCAGGCGGUUCGUUAAGUCUGAUGUGAAAGCCCCGGGCUCAACCUGGGAAUGGCAUUGGAAACUGGCGGGCUUGAGUGUGGCAGAGGGGGGUGGAAUUCCGCGUGUAGCAGUGAAAUGCGUAGAGAUGCGGAGGAACACCGAUGGCGAAGGCAGCCCCCUGGGCUAACACUGACGCUCAGGCACGAAAGCGUGGGGAGCAAACAGGAUUAGAUACCCUGGUAGUCCACGCCCUAAACGAUGAUCACUGGGUGUUCGGGGAGCGAUCUCUGAGUACCGAAGCUAACGCGUGAAGUGAUCCGCCUGGGGAGUACGGUCGCAAGAUUAAAACUCAAAGGAAUUGACGGGGACCCGCACAAGCGGUGGAUGAUGUGGAUUAAUUCGAUGCAACGCGAACAACCUUACCUACCCUUGACAUGUCCGGAAGCCCGGUGAGAGCUGGGGGUGCCCGAAAGGGAACCGGAACACAGGUGCUGCAUGGCUGUCGUCAGCUCGUGUAGUGAGAUGUUGGGUUAAGUCCCGCAACGAGCGCAACCCUUGUCCCUAGUUGCUACGCAAGGGCACUCUAGGGAGACUGCCGGUGACAAACCGGAGGAAGGUGGGGAUGACGUCAAGUCCUCAUGGCCCUUAUAGGUGGGGCUACACACGUCAUACAAUGGCCGGUACAAAGGGUCGCAAACCCGCGAGGGGGAGCCAAUCCAUCAAAGCCGGUCGUAGCCCGGAUCGCAGUCUG